UGUUUGUCUCUCGUGUCAUCGGUACUUUUUAAAAAGCGUAAUAGAAAUACAACGGUUUACAACCCAUAAGCCACUUAUAGCGACCAGUUGCCCCUACUAAGUUUCUCGCCGGAUCUCCUCACUGGGUCGCGAUUCCGAUUCGAUGUUCAUAGACGUCUACUGCUGAGCAUAGCCUCUCCAAGGUUCGUCACAACGAUGGAUCCCGAGCUAUCUCCUCGACCUUCAACGGGUCGUCGUUGUAUCUUCUGGGAGACCUACCCACGCUACGUCUUUCAGCACGCAAUUGCUGCUCGAGAACUUUUUGGCCCCUGCAGCUAAAUUUUGCGUUUUACUAGCAAUAUACCCUGCCCACUGCCACUCCAACGUCGGUAUUUUAUCGACUAUGUCGGUUAACAUUGUUCUCCAACGAAUCUCACAGGAAAACUAUAGUAACUUUAGUUAAACUGAAAAUAAUAAUAAAACACAAUAUUGCGCAUUAGACAUGUUAGCGAAUAUAAAUGUCAUUUCAGUUAAAUAUUCAACAAGGAAACACUAUAAGAUAGACUGUCUGGUUUAAAAUAUGCAAUUUACAAUUCUAGUUGUCCGUAUAUAUAAUCAACGGUUGACAUAAUUUUCAUUGUUAUACGACAAGUCCUCAUAAGUCAACGUGGAAUAUCGUAGUGGUCAAAAAACUGGAAUUAUUAAAAAAUAAACUCGUUUUGUAGCUUAUUUAUAUGUAGUUGGCAUGAGACCCGGUGGUUAUUGAUUUGGAGUGAUUCUAUUAACAUGUAUUUACGAUAACCAAUGCCUCAGUGCGCAGUACCUAAUCUAUGCGAAAACGAAACGAAGCCACGUGUGACUUUACGCGAAAGAAAUUAAACGACAUAUAGUUGAAUAACACGAUAUGUAUGCGUUAAAGAAAAACAUAUAUUUAUAAAUAUUUUUUGUUGUUGUUGUUAACAAUGUUUUUAAAAUAGAAUGGUUUUUGCGUACCUACUGACUAUUGUGAUGUGCCUACACGCGUGAAGACUAGCUUAUUUAACAUUAUUAAUAUCGUGUUUUGGCCAGCCGUAGACAGUAUUAAAAUUAAAUAUACCAGAUGAUGACCGAG